AGCAGAGCCAUCCAGCUGCAUGGCAUGGGGCGGAGACGAGUACUGCCCUUUGGCAGGCAGCGCUCCUGGCCGGCGAAAAGAGCGCACUUCCACUAGUGUCCUGGGGCUCGCCUCCAUAGGGGUCUCAAAGUGUGUAGAACUGCUUGUUCCCUCCAGUGGGCUGUGCAGAGUCGUGCAGCGACGUGAGUCGCUGUGUGGACCUACCCGGCCCGGCCUUCCCGCGUUUCCCACGCCCCGCCCACCUCCCUGCAUCUGGCCCCUGGUAAUCGUAAUCAUUCCUUUGGCUGGGAUUGACCCCAUAUAGGGUCACCUCAAGGAGCAACGCGAAUCCUUCACCGUUGCAAGCUUUUCAGGGACAAGAAACGCGGAAGUUCUUUCGGUUUAGCAUUUAAGGAAAGCACCCAAAAUCAACCUCCCCAAGUUCCUCUAUCGACCAUUCAGGCAGAAGGCGCCCGGCACCACUCCGUCCUGACGCGCCCUUGCUCCUCGUUUGGCCUCACUCUGCGGUCCCCUCCCCCACACGCCAUUUCCUCUCCCUCCAUUAACUGCUUUGGAUGGCAGGGGACAGAAAAGGGACUCUCCCUUGACCUUGAAUUUACCUUGCCCGGAUCCUUCUGGAUCCUGUGUUCUAAGGGCUUUCAAACUUGGAACCAAGACCCACACUGUGAAACAGUUUACAAAACAAACCCAGGCUCCAGUGUGUGUGGGCGGGGAGCACAUUUGUAGUUACAAUUGUUACACAUGUAAAUACAUGUUAUAUACAUCUAAUAUACAUUUAUGUAUGUAUAGAAAAACUUUCCAAAACAAUAUUUGUCCUUCCA
rnacentral:lncRNA from 1 species